rnacentral:lncRNA from 1 species
GGAUUCCACGCCUCAGAAUCUGAAUUGGACAGGAACCCAAAUAAGUUGUUGGAAACACACAAAUCUAAACUCAAAUUGUCAUACUUCAACAUCUGCUUUUGAGGGCAGAGAGCACGUGCUGUACUUUUGUUUAAGCUUCACGUAGCAGGAAUUCAGUUCAUGAGUGGACACGUGAACCAUUGAAGCAACAAAGGGAUGAACAACUCUGGAUUCGGGCCACGCACAAGUUCUGCAGUGCUCAGUGCCUCAUCUAGACUUCCACAAGGAGAGUACAUUGAUUCAGCUGAAAAACAGGGCUUUGGGUGAAUUGGAUGAAGACAGUCAAAUGGUGCAAACUUCCAGUUAUAAGAUACUUCUUGACUCCUCUAGGACAGUGCUUUUCAAUGUGUGGUUGUUGGAUCGCCUCAUCAGACCGCCUGUGGCCCAAGAUCACUGGUUCUGGGGGAUGCUGGCUGCCAUGUUGUAAGGACACUCAAACAUCCCAAUGGAGAGGUCCACAUGGCAAGGAACCAAGGUCUCCUGCCAACAGCCAGCAAAGAACUGAGACCUUCUGCCAAUAGCCAUGUGGGUGAGCCUUCUUGGAAGAGGAUCUUCCAACCUCACUCAAGCCUUCAGAUGACUGCAGCC